rnacentral:lncRNA from 15 species
AUGGACGUGUGCUGCAGCACCGUGCCUGGGCUGAUGGGGGUGCUGUGCAGCUCAAGAGUUGUCUGCCUCAAACAACUGAUAGAUGCAGCAGGACCAGAGCUCACAGAUGUCCACUCUCUGGGCUCUGUGCUGGGGGUGCGCUCUGUCCGGCUGACGCAGAGGAGCCUAGAGCUCUGGAGGAGGAGGCUGACGGAGAAGGAGAGAAUCCUUCUCCUCAAAUACGGCAGGGGAGAGGCUGAGCCGGACUCCACAGACCCUUAUCCCGAGAUCUACUUGUGCCCUGGUUUCACAGAGCUCAGCGGCCCCCUCCUGAGACACAAUGAUGGGAGUACAUUGAGCCUACACAAGACUGACAAAAAAACUCUGUACACAAACUGUGUAAAAACUAUCCACAAAACUCGCCUGUGUGACAGAGCGCAGUGUGUGUGGACUGAGAGGCUGGGUGGGCUGAGCCCCCAGUGGAGAACAUUAUACAAACCUCCUCUAAAAAAAAGAACUGGAGAUCUCCAGUGGAGGAUUUUACAUGGUGCCAUCGCCACCAAUGCCUUUUUAUCUGUUCUUAAUCACAGUGUUGUAAAGGAGUGCCCAUUCUGUGGACUGACUGAGAACAUUUUCCAUGUUUUUACUGAGUGCAAGAGAUUGGCAGACAUUUUUAACGUUUUAACUCGUGUUUUUAAUCUAUUUGGUGUCAUUUUUACUGCCCCUGUUUUUAUUUGUGGAGUCGGUUUUAAAAAAACAGAAAAAGUAAAGUGUCGACUCCUAAACUUUUUAAUUGGUGAGGCUAAAAUGUCGAUAUACCUGACUCGUAGGGACAGACUGCAGGGUGGGCCGACCCUUGACCCUGUGACCCUGUGGAGGUACAAUGUGAAGGCCAGACUGAGGCUGGAGUUUUGCUUCCACAGGGUCACAGGGAAUACAGAUGUGUUUGAGCAGCAGUGGGCUCAUGAGGAGCUGUUGUGCCGGGUGACCGGUGGAGAGUUAAAGUUCACAUCCUUCCUCAACUGA